UACGUAGGGGGCAAGCGUUGUCCGGAGUUACUGGGCGUAAAGCGCACGCAGGCGGUCUCUUAAGUUUGGAGUGACAGUUGGUGGCUUAACUGCCAAAGUGCUUCGAAAACUGAGAGACUUGAGGGCUUCAGAGGGACACGGAACUCCGGGUGGAGUGGUGAAAUGCGUAGAGAUCCGGAGGAACACCAAAGGCGAAGGCAGUGUCCUGGGGAGUACCUGACGCUCAGGUGCGAAAGCCAGGGGAGCGAACGGG
rnacentral:rRNA from 1 species